rnacentral:rRNA from 1 species
GACGAACGCUGACGGCGUGCUUAACACAUGCAAGUCGAACGGAAAGGCCUCUUUCGGGGGGUACUCGAGUGGCGAACGGGUGAGUAACACGUGAGUAACCUGCCCUUGACUUUGGGAUAACUUCAGGAAACUGGGGCUAAUACCGGAUAGGAGCUCCUGCUGCAUGGUGGGGGUUGGAAAGUUUCGGCGGUUGGGGAUGGACUCGCGGCUUAUCAGCUUGUUGGUGGGGUAGUGGCUUACCAAGGCUUUGACGGGUAGCCGGCCUGAGAGGGUGACCGGCCACAUUGGGACUGAGAUACGGCCCAGACUCCUACGGGAGGCAGCAGUGGGGAAUAUUGCACAAUGGGUGGAAGCCUGAUGCAGCAACGCCGUGUGCGGGAUGACGGCCUUCGGGUUGGAAACCGCUUUCGCUCAUGACGAAGCUUUGUGUGACGGUAGUGGGUAAAGAAGCACCGGCUAACUACGUG